UACGUAGGGGGCGAGCGUUGUCCGGAAUCAUUGGGCGUAAAGAGCUCGUAGGCGGCUCAGUAAGUCGGGUGUGAAACCCUCAGGCUCAACCUGGGGACGCCACCCGAUACUGCUGUGGCUAGAGUCCAGUAGGGGGGACGCGGAAUUCCGGGUGUAGUGGUGGGAAUGCGUAGAGAUCCGGAGGAACACCAACGGCGAAGGCAGCUCGCUGGGACGGAACUGACGCUAAGGCGCGAAAGCGUGGGGAGCGAACAGG
rnacentral:rRNA from 1 species